UACGUAGGCAGCAAGCGUUGUUCGGAAUUACUGGGCGUAAAGAGUGUGUAGGCGGUGUUCUAAGUUUGUCGUGAAAUCUCCCGGCUUAACCGGGGAACUGCGUCUGAUACUGGAUGGCUUGAGGUUGGGAGAGGGAUGCGGAAUUCCAGGUGUAGCGGUGAAAUGCGUAGAUAUCUGGAGGAACACCGGUGGCGAAGGCGGCAUCCUGGACCAAUUCUGACGCUGAGUGAGCGAAAGCCAGGGGAGCAAACGGG
rnacentral:rRNA from 1 species